UUCGCAAUGCCCGAAAGGGUGACGAAGCGACGCCGCGUGCGGGAAGAAGGCCUUCGGGUUGUAAACCGCUGUCGGGAGUUAAGAAAUGCAAGGAUAUUAAUAGUAUCUUUGCUUGACUAAGGCUCCGGAGGAAGCCACGGCUAACUCUGUGCCAGCAGCCGCGGUAAUACAGAGGCGGCAAGCGUUGUUCGGAAUUAUUGGGCGUAAAGAGCACGUAGGCGGCUAUGUAAGUCGGUUGUGAAAGCCUUCCGCUCAACGGGAGAACAGCAUCCGAUACUGCAUAGCUUGAGUGCGGGAGGGGAGAGUGGAACUUCUGGUGGAGCGGUGAGAUGCGUAGAUAUCAGAAGGAACACCGGCGGCGAAGGCGACUCUCUGGCCCGUAACUGACGCUGAGUGUGCGAAAGCUAGGGGAGCAAACGGGAUUAGAUACCCCGGUAGUCCUAGCCGUAAACGAUGGGCACUAAGUAGAGGGGUUUU
rnacentral:rRNA from 1 species